UUGACGGGGCCGCACAAGCGGUGGAGUAUGUGGUUUAAUCGACGCAACGCGCAGAACCUUACCUAGACUUGACAUCCCGGGAUUUUCUGGAAACAGAGAAGUGCUUUAGCAAUAAGAACCCGGUGACAGGUGCUGCAUGGCUGUCGUCAGCUCGUGUCGUGAGAUGUUGGGUUAAGUCCCGCAACGAGCGCAACCCUUGUCUUUAGUUGCCAUCAUUAAGUUGGGCACUCUAAAGAGACUGCCGGUGUCAAACCGGAGGAAGUGGGGAUGACGUCAAGUCCUCAUGGCCUUUAUGACCAGGGCUACACACGUACUACAAUGGCAGGUACAAAGGGCAGCCACUUAGCGAUAAGGAGCGAAUCCCGUAAAACCUGUCUCAGUCCGGAUUGGAGUCUGCAACUCGACUCCAUGAAGUUGGAAUCGCUAGUAAUCGCAGAUCAGCACGCUGCGGUGAAUACGUUCCCGGGCCUU
rnacentral:rRNA from 1 species